GGCACGGAGGGAGACACAAAUCUGUCCUGCUAAGCCAAAAAGGUUCCCUACCCUUGCUGUAGAAGAUGAAUCAGGGAAGGACUGUACCUCAGAGAUAGCUCAGUGGGUAGAGCAUGCAAUUCUUAAUCUCAGGGCCAUGGGUUCGAGUCCCACAUUGGGUGUAAUAUUCCUGCAUUGCAGGGGGUUGGACUAAAUCAUCCUCAUGGUCCCUUCCAAGUCUAUGUUAAAGGUAAAGGUAAAGGGACCCCUGACCAUUAGUUCCAGUCAUGGCCGACUCUGGGGUUGCGGCGCUUAUCUCGCUUUAUUGGCUGAGGGAGCUGGCGUACAGCUUCCAGGUCAUGUGGGCAGCAUGACUAAGCUGCUUCUGGCGAACCAGAGCAGCGCACGGAAACGCCGUUUACCUUCCUGCCGGAGCGGUACCUAUUUAUCUACUUGCACUUUGACAUGCUUUCGAACUGCUAGGUUGGCAGGAGCAGGGACCAAGCAACAGGAGCUCACCCCUCUCAUGGGGAUUUGAACUGCCGACCUUCUGAUCGGCAUGUCUUAGGCUCUGUGGUUUAACCCACAAUGCCACCCGCGUCCCUUCCAAGUCUAUGUUACUGUGGUUGAUUUUAUGAUUCACUGGCAGAUCACUUGCUUUGCAUGCAGAAGGCCUGAGAUACAAUCCAUGGCGUUUCCAGGAAGAGCUGGGAUGGACUCCUGCCUGAAACUUUGGGCAGCUGCUAUGUUAGUGAAGAGGAGAUUGAGCUACAUCGACCAAAGGUCUGGUUCAGUAUAAGAUAGGAGGACCAUGUGUAGCUAAUUGUAUUAUCACAUAUACAGGAUCCAGUGAUGGAAAAGUGGCAACUUGCAAAAUCUGCACCUGCUUCUGUUUAUCUCUUCUUGCCACACCGUGGUCUUCGGGGAAUACAGAGUGCCUUUCGAAAUGCCACCUGGGAAUUCACAUGUGGGCAAAAACGCACAGCUGUCAAACUGUGACCUGAAUGAUCUGCAGAACAUUUUCAAAGUUUGCACAAAAAAGAAAGGGAAGAUGUUGCUGGAAAGUGUUCCGUUUGGCUACAUAGUUAAUGUGACACCCCCACCAAACACUUCACAAUAAAUAAGUUUGGAG